GGGAAAGCCCAUUUCCAUGCUAUGAAGACACUCACACAGCCUAUGAAGAGGCCCCUGUGAGGAGGAACUGAGGCCUCCACCACCAACCAGCCACAACUUUCCAGCCGUGUAAAUGAAUCACCUUGAAUGAAAAUUUUCUUGCCAGUCAAGCCUUCAAAUGACUACAGCCCCAGCCAAUAUCUUAACUGAAACUCCAUGAGAAAUUGCAAGAUAAAAUUGCCCAGCAAGCAUGCUCUGGAAUUUCAGACCCACAGAAACUGUGGGAAGCCCAGGCCACUACCAGUCCUGCCCAUCUGGCUGAAAAGAGUCUCUAUUGAAGCACACACCUAUGUUAUGACCACCUCCUGUGUGUCUGUGAAUAGGACAGCAGAACUAUUAUGUGUUGUAGCAGUACCAUGUGGUUUUUGAAUUUUCUACAAUGAGAAUGCGCCAUCUAUAUAAUCAGAAAGAAAACAAUAAAGCUAUUGAGAAAAAAUACUACCAGCCACAUUUUGAGAUUAUUGUGAUACGUCAAAGAGGCAAAAUAAGACUUUACUCAGGAU
rnacentral:lncRNA from 10 species